rnacentral:rRNA from 1 species
GGUGGUGCAUGGUUGUCGUCAGCUCGUGUCGUGAGAUGUUGGGUUAAGUCCCGCAACGAGCGCAACCCUUGUCCUGUGUUGCCAGCACGUUGUGGUGGGGACUCACGGGAGACUGCCGGGGUUAACUCGGAGGAAGGUGGGGAUGACGUCAAAUCAUCAUGCCCCUUAUGUCCAGGGCUUCACACAUGCUACAAUGGUCGGUACAGAGGGUUGCUACACCGUGAGGUGGUGCUAAUCUCUUAAAGCCGGUCUCAGUUCGGAUUGGAGUCUGCAACUCGACUCCAUGAAGUCGGAGUCGCUAGUAAUCGCAGAUCAGCAAUGCUGCGGUGAAUACGUUCCCGGGCCUUGUACACACCGCCCGUCACGUCAUGAAAGUUGGUAACACCCGAAGCCGGUGGCCCAAACUCGUUAGGGAGCCGUCGAAGGUGGGAUCGGCGAUUGGGACGAAGUCGUAACAAGGUAGCCGUACCGGAAGGUGCGGCUGGAUCACCUCCUUU